AGGGCAGCCCUUCCCUGUUCUCUGACAAAUUCCUUCAAAAGGCAGGUAGAAAUGAAUAUAAAAAUGGGAAGACAAAACUAAUUUAAUACAUAAAUAUGUAAAAUAAUGUUACUAGGAGUGACUUCAGACAGGAACGGAGGAACUCAAUAUGUAUCUAAAUCUAUUUGGAAACAGCUUUAAAACAAUACUGGAAUUCCACAGCAAUCUUUAACUGGCUUCCAACUACUACAAUCAAGCUGAACAAGUGAGAGGCAGGAUCACCAUAAAAGCUGCCAGUGCCGACAAAGCCCAGACACACCCAUUUGCAACUGGCAACCUAUAAUACGCAAAUUCUGAAAGCGAAAGGCAAGCACUAAACUAAGUUCACAUUCAAAACUUCAGAAAGUGAGCCAUUUCAAGGAAAAACUUAGAAUGCUGAAAAUUGUAUUUAAAAAAGACAACGGUCAGAGCACACCUUCUGUACAAUCUCAGAGGACUUAACGGUCCGUGUCAAGCCGGAGCAGUACAAGGGAGCUACUUGGGGGAGGGAAGGGAGAAGAGCACUGCGGACCAAUAGGUAAGUGAGGACAGGGCAGUGAGUACCUUUCUAAAAGAGACAGAUUUAGCGGGACUAAAGGUCUGCUCUGUAAGCUCGAGCCCUUCGAUAGUCUCCGUACAGUCAGAGAGGGGUGCGUCCUGCAACAGUAAACUGAGUCAUCAGAGCACACCGGGCCCAGCCUUAAAAAUAUCAACCAAGAAGACAGGAUAAAGCCAGCUACGAGCAUGCAGCAGGGGCAGUUGUCAACGGUACACUUGAUGACAGUGGGACGUUGGGACGUUGGGACGUGCAGACAUUGGACAUGAAACCAGGACUGUAGCUGGCCAAUUUAAAAAAAAAAAAAAAGCAGCACAAUCAUCUCCUCCUGCGGUGAGACUGAAAGCAUCGGAUGGCAUCCUGAUUUCAGAGAUAACCACUGACACAAUUAGUGUCAGCGUGCCACUCCAUGUUAAGUCGUUUUACAGAAAUUCGUGUAAAUGUGGACAGACCACAUUUACAAGCUCACACCCAUCCACUCUGCAUCCCAAGCAGCACGUUGUUGCAGAUGAGUAUACACCAAAACAAAGGUCUGUAGCCCACCCACCUCCUGGCAGUUACGCAGCACCCAGAGGAUACCAGAGAGCCCCGUUUCAAAGCAGUGGUAUAUGAGCCUUGAGUAUGCAUGCACUCUAAGGAGCAGGGCUAGAAGGGGUGGAGAUACACCCUCAGCAUGCUUAUACUUGGUCUGUAACUCAAGUAAAGUGUCUGCAUUAUCAUGAUUUUAAACAAAGACACCCACUCACCUCAUAACAUCAUUCUGGUCUUAGUUACCACCCACUAAUGUCAGAGACACUAUGUUCUCUUACCUGAACGAGGCUUCUGUCCAUCAUCACACCACAUAAAACCUGGGACUGAGGUCCUGCCGUCUUAAUGUCCUGCAAGUUCUGCUCUCGAAUCUGAGGUUAAGAAGAAAAAAAGGCACAUGAGCAGCACAGAGAACGGAAGCUGUAACCUCCAGUCCUGUUGCUUACACACAUAAGACCCCUGCCAUGUCUCGGCCCAUGAUGGUAGGAUGGCUAGGACACACCUACGUUAGGGUACUGGCCUAAGUGCACAGAGGGUAAUAAACUACAGGCAUAAGGGACCCAA